UGACUCAAAUUGAAAGGAUAGUUCAACUUCAACCAUCACAGCGUACUUGCAAAAAAUAAAAAUGAAUGGAGGAAUCUUGCACACUUGAGAGCAGUUAAAAAAACAUUCUGAUACAGUUUAAACCUUUCCUUGACUGGCUCUCGGUGGCCCUCUUUGUUUCCUGUACCUGUGGUAGGUGGACUUGUACACGCAGAAAAAAAAAGGAACUUGCAUUCACAUCCUUCUUUCAGUAACUGACAGGAAACAAUGAACAAGAGAACAGCUCUAACAAUUCUAUGCUGUUCCAUGUUCUGUGAGGCUUUUGGAGCAGGUCAAAAUGAGAUUCUAGUGGAACCAGGGGACACAGUCACCCUUGGCUGUGACAUUACCCUGGAGUAUGAGGUCAUGUGGUUUGUUCUUCGUCCUGAUGCCACUCUUUCAGUAGCCAUCACUAUAAAGACAAAUACACCCCUGAGCCUCAAAAGGUUUGAUGGUCGUUCCGAGUCAGUGUAUGACACAGGCCUGUUCCGAAGCAAUCUGAGCAUACUGAACAUCUCAGAGAGUGACGUGGGUCUGUACUACUGUGUUGAGCAGAGGGCUAACAUAUUUGAGAUCGGAAGUGGGACCAAGCUCUCCCUUAUCAGUGGUGAUCAGCUCUCUACUACUGUUGUUGGGAUGAAGUUGUCAUGGUUUAUCACCUUGAUCAUAGCCCCCAUGUUCUCUGUGCUGGGGUCUGCUCUCUGUGUCUUCUGCUGUUGACGACCUGCUAAGAAAUUAUUUGCACCCAAUAAUUCUAAUUUUCACAUUGAAUCAUCUUUCUGAAAUGUAUUUUUUUUAUACUUAUGUGGUGCAACUCACUGUCUGUAAAUCGGGUAUUGGUGUUUAUUGCGCAUUUCAUGAAGAUAAAAAAAAAUAGCUGUCCUCUUACACUGUAGAUCCUGACAAAAUGAGGAUUCUGGAACAAUUUGGUUGAAGCCUGUCAUCUAGAGGACCAAGAGUGAAUAUAGGAGGACAAACAGGAAUAAAAUGUAAAGAUGCUGAGAGUAAAA